rnacentral:rRNA from 1 species
GUGACCGCGUACCUUUUGUAUAAUGGGUCAGCGACUUAAUUUACGUAGCGAGCUUAAGCCGAUAGGUGUAGGCGCAGCGAAAGCGAGUCUGAAUAGGGCGUUUCAGUUACGUGGAUUAGACCCGAAACCGGGUGAUCUAGCCAUGGGCAGGUUGAAGGCAGGGUAAGACCUGCUGGAGGACCGAACCCACCUAUGUUGAAAAAUGGGGGGAUGACCUGUGGCUAGGGGUGAAAGGCCAAUCAAACCCGGAAAUAGCUGGUUCUCCGCGAAAACUAUUUAGGUAGUGCGUUAUGUGUUUACCGUCGGGGGUAGAGCACUGGAUGGGCUAGGGGGGCGCGAGCCUUACCAAACCUAACCAAACUCCGAAUACCGGCGAGUAUUGCAUGGCAGACAGACGGUGGGCGCUAAGGUCCGUCGUCGAGAGGGAAACAGCCCUGACCGCCAGCUAAGGUCCCUAAGUUGUGGCUAAGUGGGAAAGGAUGUGGGAAGGCCAAGACAGCCAGGAGGUUGGCUUAGAAGCAGCCAUCCUUGAAAGAAAGCGUAACAGCUCACUGGUCUAGAUAUUAAGCCGUCCCGCGCCGAAGAUGUAACGGGGCUCAAGCCACACACCGAAGCUGCGGAUUCGAUCCCGGAUUUAUCCAGGGUCGAGUGGUAGCGGAGCGUUCCGUAAGCCCGUGAAGCGGUCCUGUAAGGGGCCGUGGAGGUAUCGGAAGCGAGAAUGCUGACAUGAGUAGCGAUAAAGAGUGUGAGAAACACUCUCGCCGUAAGUCCAAGGGUUCCUGCGCAAGGCUAAUCCGCGCAGGGUGAGCCGGCCCCUAAGCCGAGGGCGAAAGCCGUAGGCGAUGGGAACCACGUUAAUAUUCGUGGGCCUGCUGGGAUGUGACGAAUGCGGAAAGUUGUCUUCGCUUAGAUGGAUUGCGAGGGCGGCGAACGCGUUCCAGGAAAUAGCCCCAGCUUUAGACCGUACCCCAAACCGACACAGGUGGACAGGUAGAGCAUACCAAGGCGCUUGAGAGAACUGCGUUGAAGGAACUCGGCAAAUUGCCCUCGUAACUUCGGGAUAAGAGGGCCCGGCCUUUGGGCAACCAUUGGCCGGGGGCACAAAAUUGGGGGUAGCGACUGUUUACUAAAAACAUAGGGCUCUGCGAAGUCGCAAGACGACGUAUAGGGUCUGACGCCUGCCCGGUGCUGGAAGGUUAAGAGGAGAGGUGCAAGCUUUGAAUCGAAGCCCCAGUAAACGGCGGCCGUAACUAUAACGGUCCUAAGGUAGCGAAAUUCCUUGUCGGGUAAGUUCCGACCUGCACGAAUGGCGUAACGACUUCCCCACUGUCUCCAACGCAGACUCAGCGAAAUUGAAUUCUCCGUGAAGAUGCGGAGUACCCGCGGUCAGACGGAAAGACCCCGUGCACCUUUACUACAGCUUU